rnacentral:rRNA from 1 species
GAUGAACGCUGACAGAAUGCUUAACACAUGCAAGUCUUUGGCGAAUCUGUGCUUGCACCGGCUAGCCGAGGCGGACGGGUGAGUAACGCGUAAAGAACUUGCCCUGCAGACAGGGAUAACAGACGGAAACGACUGAUAACACCUGAUACAGUUGCCGGCACGCAUGUGCCUGGCAAUGAAAAGAGAUGCUGCAGGAGAGCUUUGCGUCCUAUUAGCUUGUUGGUGAGGUGACGGCUCACCAAGGCGAUGAUAGGUAGCCGGCCUGAGAGGGUAAACGGCCACAAGGGGACUGAGAUACGGCCCUUACUCCUACGGGAGGCAGCAGUGGGGAAUAUUGGACAAUGGGGGCAACCCUGAUCCAGCAAUUCUGUGUGCACGAAGAAGGUUUUCGGAUUGUAAAGUGCUUUCAGCAGGGAAGAAGAAAGUGACGGUACCUGCAGAAGAAGCGACGGCUAAAUACGUG